UCGUGAUGAUUACCUAGAUGACGAGUCUUAUCCGAGUUAUCGAUGCAGACAACAUCCUUUUAAUACCAUUCAUGCUUUCCUGAUC
rnacentral:snoRNA from 1 species